AAUGCAGGUUCUUGGGGGAUCAUGGAGCCCAAAGCCUCACUAACCACGUGACCUGUUCCUUUCUAGGGAAAGAAGUCUUUGAAGGGGUGAGAGGAAGGCGGGGCAGGGGGACUGCCGAGGAGACAUGUCAGAAUUGGAAAGGCCUUCCAGGUCAUCACUAAUCCUGAAAGUUCAUCUUUACUGUCCCAUCUCCUCUGGCUUGUACCAUAGUGCUGGGAGCAUGAGAGCAGCAGCAGCAUCGCCGGCUGUAGCUGGGGACUGACCGGGGCAGGAAGAAGCUCCCGAGGAUGGAAGGCAAAUGACAACAGAAAGGAGAUAGAGGAGAGAGGGAGGGGGAGCUGUGGGAGGGGGGCUGGGGAUGGAGGCCUGCCUGCUCUAACCUUGCCCCGCCAUGGAGCUCCGCAGAAAACAUGAAAAGUUCCAAGUCAGUGUCUCAGAGGCUGAGCCCCCUUGGAAGGGACCACCACUGGAGAAUCAGAGAAAGGCAGCGGAGAGCUAAGAAACCAAGUGCUCAACAAGGUGGGAAGACCUCGAUUGCCUUUAGAGAAAACUCUUCCCAACACGACAGCUUGGGGUACUAGCCUGGGGGAUGGGGACAUCUGGCCUCAGUCUCUCUGAGCCUCGGCUUCCUCACUUGUAAAACUGAGAUAUCAACACGCAAGCCCCUUCCAGGCCGCGGAUGGCGAUAAAGGCAGGGCAGGGACAGGAAAAGCCCUCCCUGGGGCUCCGUGAGCUCUGCUGGUGAUAAACCUGAUCUGCUCAUCUCCCGGAAGAACCAGCUGGGCAGUAAGACCUGUCGUUUCAAAAAAACAGAAAGCCCGACCCGACCAAAUUGGCCCAGGAAGAAGACAGUGAGUGGGAGCAACCUCUGGACGCAGGGAGGGACUCGAGCCCAUCGUCUUGGCGAUGAACAAUGACUGGGUGGGAGUUUGUUUUCAAUGAUGACAGAAAAAAAAAAAGAAAAGAAAAAGAAAAAAGAAGAGAAAACAAGGGAGGAGCAGGAGCUCAGGAAAUGGGUUGUGGGACACAGGGCCCAGACUGGUGUGAGGGAUGUGGAAAUCAGGGGAAAAAUAAAGCAACGAUGGGAAACUCUCUGGGCCAUCCCCAAAACAACAGGACACCAAGGCCAGCGUCCCCGAGGCUGCCAUUGGCAGAGCAAAGUCCUGGCCCAGCCUAAUGUCCUCUGGCUCCAAAUUACAUGGCAAUGACUCUAAGAACAAACAUGUGAGAGGGCCCCUCCCAGGGCAUCGGGUGCCAUGGAUGACUCAGCACGUGGCACAUCGUUUGGCAUCUAUAAAAGUCCCAGCAUGACUGCAGAAAAGGUACGUUCCGCAUCCAUUAGAGAGAAGCACAAAUGUGUCCGGACUCAAGUGCCAAAACAUUCUUAUUGAGCCCCCGCAACCAACAUCACCGGAUCUUCCUGCCCUAAUUUAGGAGCAUCCACUCCAAGAGAGGUAUGCCCACGGGACUCGCCUGCUGGAGGAAAGUCCAAUAGGCAGCAGUCCAAAUCCUCUUUGAAUUACAAGAGAAUUUUCUAUUUUACCAAAAGUUUGAUUGAAGGAUUCCUUCAAUAGAUAACCACCUUAACACAUUUUUAACAAUUCUAUUCCUAAAAAGGCAUUCAAACCCUCGAUGGGGACACAGAGCAGGGGGCUUCUGCACCGGCUGGGUCUGUAAUGGAGACUUUUUGCCAGCAAUACCACACAGAUGGCUUUUGGGUAAUGUGACGUAUGAACUGUUUGUUCAGAGAAUGAGGAGAAAGUGGAAGGAACAACUGUCAUUAUGCAGUGAAGCUCCUCCUGAGUCGUGGCGAUAGGGGCCUUGUGGCCCUCAAAGGCGUGAGAAGCCAUAUGGAAUCGCGACCCGGGAUCCCGGUCAGAUGGAUCUCUGACACCUACCAGCUACAUAACUCCGGCACAGCCAGUUCGUUGUGUGAGACCCUCUCUUCCUUCCCAUACAAAUUCUAGCGAGCUCCCUAUACUAGGUGCUACAUGGCACAGGGCGCUGGAGCUGAAAUCAAGAAUACUCAUUUUCCUCAGUUCAAAUCUGACCUCGGACACUUAGUAGCUGUGUGACCUUGAGCAAGUUAUUUAACUAUUUGCCUCAGUUUCCUCAUCUGUCAAAAGAGCUGGAGAAAGAAAUGGCCAACCGCUCCAGUAUCUCUUGCCCAGAAAACUUCAAAUGGGGUCAGCAUGAUUGAAGUGACCGAACAACAGCAACCCUACAGUGAUUAAAGCACAGGUUCAUUUUUUUAGAAAUUUUUAGGAAAAAGGAAAGGAAUAUGAUGACCAAGGCAGAGGGAACCUUAGCUAGCUCUAGAGAAGAGCUGAGGGCGGGCAAAGAGAUCCGCGUGACCAGACUUUCACUGUGCCACUUGAAAGUAGGACUCUUGUUUCUGGGAGGAGACCAAAGGUGAUAGAGAGCCCCCAAAAGAUGAAGCAAAAGCAGCACAUUUAGAACCCAUUAUACUCUGGCUCCACCUGAAUUUUCCAGGCUGACUGUCAACUCCUUCUCCCUGCAGCCACUAUCCCCCAAGAAUGCUCUAUACUUCCCAUCUCCAUACUUUGGCACAGGCUGUCCCCUCCUCACCCCCACCUGCUUCAAAGCUCAAGUGCCAUCUUCUCUGGGAAAUCUUCCUGCUCUCCUUUAGUUAUCACUAUUCUCUCUUUCCUCAAAUGACUGCAGAUACCCAACUCUCCACGCCUCACAUCGGCCCCUCCAUUUCGUCUUUGUAGCCCCAAUCCCUUGCUUAAGGAAGGCUUGCUCGAUGGGAGAGGAAGGCUUUUCCAGUAACGGUCAGAAUCCUGGAACGUGACCAGCUCACCCCAGGUCCCCUUUGCCAUCACCCAGUAAAUCAAUCCCAACCUCCAGGUUCCCUGUCCCAGGAAGGCUCCCGGGCCACUGCAGUCAGCUGCAGAGCUGUCUCAAGAAAAAGCUCGGCAAGAGAGAUGUGAAGAGGGAGCAAAGGCCCCCAGGGGCCGCAGCAUCUGCUCUGUGACUGCUAACCCAUCACUGCAACAUAAAAACUUUGGUUCCUUUUUUAUUAUCAGCUUAAACAUGCACAAGCACAAAUAGUUCAAUCUACAGGACAAAAAAAAAAAAAAAAAAGAGGAUGUUUAUGAGGCUGAACUUCUGGCAGGUGGCCUUUCAAGGUGACUGAAUCUCACCCCUGCUCCAGGGUGGCCCGUCCUGAACUUCUGCCAGCUCUCUGUGUCCUUCCCUCUCCUUCCUCUUUAAGGUCCCCCACUUCUGCCCAACAAAAAAGACCUCAUUGUCCCUCUGAGCAGAAGAGAGUCCUUCAUGGAGGCUCUUACUGGAAAAUGAGGAAAGCGUCCCAGUCGUCCACCUCACAAGGCUUUGCGGGGAACAGCCGCCCAAACCUCUCCCUGAGACUCGGGCUACCCGGUGCUCACUGUCCUGUGUGGGUCCUUGGUGUGACCAGCUCUGCAGAGCACUUCUCACGUUCUUCUCUCCCUAGCAGCUCGUCUGACUUUGGGAAGGGCAGGACAAUGAGAGGAAGCUUGGAGGCCAGCGCCUGUCCUGGCCGGAUGUCCCUGGGGUACUGCGCUUCCAGGCCAAGAGAGCUCACGCAACCCAUAAAGGGGAAGUUGGGUUUCUACAUUAUUCCUCAUUUUGAAAUCUCUCUUCCAGAACACUGAGCUAGACCGAGGUCCUCUACAUUCACUGACGCGGCUCACUGGGAGGAGGAGAGUCCCAUAACAGAAUGGGCGGCCCCCGGGAGGUGAGGCUCCCCGGCCCUGGAGGUCUGCCAGCAGAGCCUGGCCGGGUCACUGUAGGGUCAGUGUUAUUAGGGUAAGGGGGCCCCGCCGAGCCCUUCCUGAGACUCAGGGAUUCCACUGAAAAGAGAGAGGAAGAAGCUUUCCUGCACAGGCUUGCCUCCACAAGGUCCCAGCGGCACACGGCAGCAGGGCCAGGAGAUCCCGGCUCUUCCUGCGUAUUCCCUGCUUCCUAGCGCCACGUGGCAGAGCACACACCAGCUCCCCUUUGGCAAGGAGGGGGUCCCCACCUUCACAGGUCAUUUCCCCUUGAAACAGAAGAGCCCCCGUAGAAGCGGAGCAGGCAGCCAUGCUCGGCCUUGAGGCUGACCCUGGGGAGCACGUCCUCCAAGCAGAAGCUGCCAGAGAUGCCCUGCUGAGACCCAUCAAAACCUCUCCAGCUCCCUUUACUGACUUUAAGGCGUACACGCUGACUGUUCUGGCUCAUGAAUCCCUCUCUGAGCAAAUGUGAACUCAGACCCCCCGAAGGCAAUGGGGAAUCGGCGGCGCUCCAACCACGGCACAGCUGCCGCCGCCACAAUUGAGAUGGGGCUGCUGCCCGCCUUCAGAAGGGGAAAUAGCAUUUCGAGGCAGGGGGGCCCAUGGCAACAGACAGGCUCCCACCAUGAGACACUGAAGGCCAGGGAACUAGAGAGGCUCCGAGGCUCAGUUAUGAGGCUCGGGCCCAGCGGGCCUGGAGCUCGCUCAUUUUAAUUGGCGCCGCAGCAAGCCUGACGACCCCGUGUACUCCACCCUGGCAGGGCCCUAAAAAGCCACGGGAGCGGCGACAACGAUGGAGCCCACUGGCCACGCUCGUCGGGAGGCAGCGGAAAUCUGAUUGUGGCUGGUCUCCAGCUGCUGGUGCAGCUUCUCGCUCCUGCCGUGGCCGCAGCCACCUGCCGGGGCCAAAGAUGACACGCCCCCACGUCCAGGGCCCUGCUCAUGCCAGGGUCCCACACAGGCUCUGGGCCGCUAUCUCCGGCCCAGCCAAUGCACCAAGGGGACCGGCCCCUCCGGUACACACUGGCAGGGCAACAUCUCAGCUCUCUGUCCUGGCUGUUCUGAGCCCUGCCCGGCUGAGGGUGCGGUGGGAGGUGGGGGGCUUCCUGCUCCUGGAAAUGCCUCAUGUGGCUGCUCCACUGACACUAGUUACAUGAGUCUGAAAAUGGACAGACUUCAGUUUUCUUAUCUAAAAAGGGGAUACCACUGGCACUAACUUAUCCAAAAGAGUGUGGAGAGGAAAGUAUUUCCGAAAGCCUUCAAGCAAUACAGAAGGGAUUAACUGAGGAAAGGUGAGUGGUCCAUCUUGCCCUCCGUCUCAGGUUCUAUUUGCGGGCAGAUGGAGAAGGAGCCUCAAGGGUCCUUGUGUCCCCAUUCCUCUUCUGAUCCUGGAAGGCGCCUCCACAACUUCACGGGCUCUUGUGGGGUGGAGGGAAAAACCAUUUCCUAGCCCCCUCCCAAGUGCAGCAGCAUGAGAUCAGACAGGCUCGGAAGGGUCACAGUGAGAGGGAGCCUGAAGACCCAAGUGGCCCAUGAUCUCUGCUCAAGAUUGGGCGAGAUUCCCAGAGACUUCUCCGACCUUAUGGAUAAUGCCAAAUUCUGCAAUGGAAGCCAUGCACUCAGGACCCUGGAAAGAACCCAUGGGGACUUCUUUGCCUCGCCAGGAGUUGGCCAGGAGGCCACCUCCUCCGGCAGUCACUAUUUAUGGCGGGUGUUCCCAGUUGGAAAAAAGGGACAAAACCCCAACCCAACAAUUUGAAAACAAAACAACAAUGUGGCCUGUGACUUAAUUUUUUUUUCUCCAACUGAGGCUCUCAGUGAUUACCUCUGAUCCUGAAUACAUCUUACAUGGAUGUGUCACAGAAACACCUUCCCAUCCAUUCUGAUAUUGGCUUCAGGCUUUUCCCUAAGUCCCUGUAGGUGGGCGUCUUGGUAAACAUUUUAGUUUUCUUGAGAGCAGUGCCACAUGUAAUUAGUCACUUAAUAAAUGGUCUUUGAAAACCGCAAUGCUGACAAGAUAAAAUAUCAGGGCAAGAUCAGCCAUGUGACUGUGGGCAGGGGGUUUCACCCCUAAGCCUCAGUUCCCUUACCAGUAAAAUGGGGACACUCCUUCUUGGGCUGUGUCUUUAAGGACUGCCGUGAACAAGGGGCUUUGCCUACCUUACAGUAUUAGGGAAAUAUGAGUUCUCAUGAUCCCUUCUGUUUUCCUGAGGAUGAAAUAAAAAAAGAUAGCGGUGUCCUUUGCAAGGACAGACUGUAUGCCAUUGGCUGACCCCAAAGGCCUCCUGUUUGUCGUUGGCUCCAAAGUGCCAUUCACGGUGUGACAAGGGCCAUGCAGGAUGCUGAGCGCUCCCUGGAGCCUUUGCUAGCCUACCUAUCUAAUGGGCACUCCAUUACCUGUCCUCAAGGGCAGCCCAGUUUCCUGAGCUUUAUUAAACCUCAGCUUAGUCCUGCAUUGUCUACCAAUGUGCCACUUUCUGGCUCUGCAUAAAUCAUUAGCAUUUUCCACAAUCAGUCUUUUAGCCAGGGACAUUAGGGUCUGGGAAGAACUCCUUCCCUGUUCUUUUUCCAAUUAGAUCAAAGGUUCCUAACUUGGGGGGCCACAGACAAUCUACUCAUGAAUCCAAGGAUAGAUUUCAGGGAAUCAGUGAAAUGGGAUAGGGAAAAAAAAAGUACAUCUGUAUUUUCAUUAGUCUCUAAUUGACUUUUUUCUUUUUUCUUUUAAUUUCUUUAAUUUCUUAAAAAGUUAAUCUGAUAGGAGGUCCUAAAUCUUCCAAAGGGGAUCAUGACAUGUUGACGUACAAAAAGCGUCUGACCUCCAUAUCAGACCGCGCCAGACAGUGGAGCCUGCAUCUUCCUCUGGGUACAGAGAACAGAGUCUCUGAGAUAUAGCCAGUUGGCAACCUCCCUUGUUGACAGGUCAUGGGUAAGACAGUCAUACCUCCAGAUACACAGCAGCUCAGACACAUAGCAGGAGUAAGGUUGCUACUGCCUGCCUACAAGUGUUCAAAUUUGAUCUAGGCUGGCUCCCCUUAUGUUCUAUUGAGAAUCACUACUGAUCUUUCCAUACAAUUCCAAAAUACUCUGAAAGUUGACAGAUGCAAUCGACUAGAUCAAGGUAGAAAGCACCGAAUGUUCCAGGUUUAGGGGAGAAAAACAAGAGAGAAGAGGGAGGGAGGUAGUAAUACAGCAAUAUGAGACUUCAAGUCUAGAUUCUAACAUAGAUAUGUGUGUGUGUGUGUAUGUGUGUGUGU